AUGGACCGAAUAAACAUGUGGAUUCCACGCGGGAAGACACUCCCUGCUGUUGACCGCCUCCCCCUCCCCCCUCCCGCUCCCGCCAUUCGGGGAAGGAAGGAGCAUGGCGGAGCAGACGACGGAGCGGAGGAAGGAAUGGAAUGGAUCGGGAAGCAAAAGAGGAGGUCAGGUGCUCGGUCGCUUGCCGGACCGGGACCGGGGAUUCUUUCAGCUGCUUGGGGGCGGCGAGCAGAGCAGGGUCUCCUUCUCGAUCCGUCAACUGGCUUGGAAGUUGGAUCAGAUGAUAUACUCGAGGUGGAACUGGAAAUGGGUGCGGGUAGAAUUGCCCGGAAGGAACUUCGUUGA
rnacentral:rRNA from 1 species